AUGAAGCUCCUAUGUUGGAACAUUAGGGGCUUCGGUCUCUCUGGCCGGCGGCGGUAGCUCAUCGAAUAUUUGCGACAGGAAGAGAUUAACAUUGUGGGACUUCAAGAGACAAUUCAUCGGGACUUUAGUAUGCAUGAGCUCCAGGGGCUCUCCCGCCACCAGUUUGCCUGGCAGUGGCUGCCCGCUACGGGUCAAUCUGGAGGCAUCUUGCUCGGGGUCAGGGAGGAUGCUUUCUCGGUCGACGAUAUGGACCGAGGGGAGUUCUUCCUGAGCAUGUCUGUCACUGACUGA
rnacentral:rRNA from 1 species